rnacentral:lncRNA from 1 species
UCUCAUGUAGUAACUAAGCAUGACGGGACUGGACGUGAGUAAGUCGUUGGAAGUCCGCAAUGCUAUGCCGGGAAACGAGAAGCAAAACAGAGUCCACCGCAGUUUGCAUCGUAGUAACACUGGAAGCAACCUUGUGGAUACCCCAUUUCACUAUCAAUUCGUUCCUUGCUUGCAUGGCAUCUGUUUGCUGCGCUCGUGACACCGCAAACCGGAAACAGCGCAGACCUGAAACGCAACGACCGGGCAGCACCGCCGGAAAACUCCCUGAUUACAGCUGAUCGUUCAGGUCUUCAUGCAUCCCUGCUGUUGCUUUUGCCCUGCGAUACCGUACGGGCCUACAAGGAAGGCACAUUUUAGUCAACUACUCUCCACGGGGAUCCACACCUUCAGCUCAUCCCUUCCCAAAAUGAGCACUUUCAUUCCCCAAUCCUUCCGUCUUUAAGGUAGUCUCGAGUAUAUUAGCCGUAUCCAUAUAACAGGUGCGGAUAGGGACCGGGUGGUGCGGUGUCCUUGUGGUGGUGCGUCGCGCGUGUUGGAGUAUCCCCCUUGCUGUCAGGGCCUAACAACGACCCGCGAUGCCUCCUGGGACUACAGUGGCUCCCCCCAGAGCAUCAAGGCAAUACGAACAAGCAGCGAAACAAUGAAUUUUUAUGCUCGAGUAGAAAACAUGUAUCUUGACUUCCUCAAGGAGCCGAUGAGGUAUGAUACCUUGUAAUACCCGAUUUGAUCUUAUUUCGCUACUCAACUCUCGCGACUCUCGCGAACAACCCUAGGACUUGCACGUGCAGAUGUGCUGAUGUGCUGAUGAUGCUGGAACAUCUGACGAGCGCCUGACUAAUGAGCCGCGUCCUGGUUGAAUAAGGCCCACAGUGUUGUGCGGGAGGUGUUUUCCUUGGAGUGGUGCAUACGAGACCCGAUCGGGGUCCACUGGUGUGUAACAAUCUCAAACGGAAGAGUGACAUGAUAUGGGACCUGGGAGCCUGGGAUCUUGGGAGCCUGAAGGUGCCUAGGAGCGUGAAGGUGCCUGGGUGCCGUGUGCACGCCUGGAUGCGGCUUAUUUCCCUCCCUUUCCUUCGUUGCCACGGACUUCGUCUGAAUGCCCUGUACCGCGUCUUCUUCAAAACUGCCUUUCCACACUCAACGGGAUACGUCCUCUUCGCCCCAGCUGCAAUCCUUCUUAUCAAGCCUCCUGCAUUUCUUCCUACAUCAGUCGUACGCCUCGCACGAUACAAGUACAUGCUGUGUGCCG